UACGUAGGGACCAAGCGUUGUUCGGAUUUACUGGGCGUAAAGGCGCGUAGGCGGCUUAACAAGUCACUUGUGAAAUCUCCGGGCUUAACUCGGAACGGCCAAGUGAAACUGUCAAGCUAGAGUGCAGAAGGGGCAACUGGAAUUCUCGGUGUAGCGGUGAAAUGCGUAGAUAUCGAGAGGAACACCUGCGGCGAAGGCGGGUUGCUGGGCUGACACUGACGCUGAUGCGCGAAAGCUAGGGGAGCGAACGGG
rnacentral:rRNA from 1 species